GAUGAACGCUGGCGGCGUGCCUAACACAUGCAAGUCGAACGAAAAGACCAGGCUUUUGCGCUUCUGGCGUUGGCAGCGGACGGGUGAGUAACACGUGGAUAACCUACCUAUAAGACUUGGAUAACUUCGGGAGACCGGAGCUAAUACCGGAUAAUAUAUUGAACCUGAUGGUUCAAUAGUUAUUUACGGUUUUGCUGUCAUUUAUAGCUAGAUCCGCGGUGGAUGAGUUAGUGGGUAGGGAAACGGCUUACCAAGGCGGGGAUGCGUAGCCGACCUGAGAGGGUGGACCGCGACCCUGGGAGUGAGCCGCGGUACAGACUCCUACGGGAGGCAGCAGUAGGGAAUCGUGCGCAAUGGGCGAAAGCCUGACCGAGCAACGCCGCGUGAGUGAUGAAGGGCCUCGGAGCGUAAAACGCUGUUAGUAGGGAAGAACAAAUGUGUAAGUAACUAUGCACGUCUUGACGGUACCUAAACAGGAAGCAACGGCUAACUACGUG
rnacentral:rRNA from 1 species